rnacentral:tRNA from 1 species
UGGCUCAAAUGGUAAAGAAUCUGCCUGCAAUGCAGGAAACCCAGGUUCGAUCCCUGG